rnacentral:tRNA from 1 species
GUCCCCUUAGUUAAACGGAUAUAACUAACCCCUCCUAAGGGUUAAUUACAGGUUCAAUUCCUGUAGGGGACAUCA